AUUUGAGUAGUUUAAAUAAAAACAUUACACUUUCAUUGUAAAAUUAAAAUAUUUUUCAAAUA
rnacentral:tRNA from 1 species